AUUGAACGCUGGCGGCAUGCCUUACACAUGCAAGUCGAACGGCAGCAUGAUCUAGCUUGCUAGAUUGAUGGCGAGUGGCGCACGGGUGAGUAAUACAUCGGAACGUGCCCUGUAUUGGGGGAUAACUAGUCGAAAGAUUAGCUAAUACCGCAUACGACCUGAGGGUGAAAGUGGGGGACCGCAAGGCCUCAUGCUAUAGGAGCGGCCGAUGUCUGAUUAGCUAGUUGGUGAGGUAAAGGCUCACCAAGGCGACGAUCAGUAGCUGGUCUGAGAGGACGAUCAGCCACACUGGGACUGAGACACGGCCCAGACUCCUACGGGAGGCAGCAGUGGGGAAUUUUGGACAAAGGGCGAAAGCCUGAUCCAGCAAUGCCGCGUGUGUGAAGAAGGCCUUCGGGUUGUAAAGCACUUUUGUCUGGAAAGAAAUGGCUCUGGUUAAUACCUGGGGUCGAUGACGGUACCGGAAGAAUAAGGACCGGCUAACUACGUG
rnacentral:rRNA from 1 species